rnacentral:rRNA from 1 species
UACGGAGGGGGCUAGCGUUGUUCGGAAUUACUGGGCGUAAAGCGCACGUAGGCGGCUUUGUAAGUUAGAGGUGAAAGCCCGGGGCUCAACUCCGGAAUUGCCUUUAAGACUGCAUCGCUAGAAUUGUGGAGAGGUAAGUGGAAUUCCGAGUGUAGAGGUGAAAUUCGUAGAUAUUCGGAAGAACACCAGUGGCGAAGGCGACUUACUGGACACAUAUUGAUGCUGAGGUGCGAAAGCGUGGGGAGCAAACAGG